rnacentral:lncRNA from 1 species
AUGAAACUGCCAAGAAAAGUACUUACUCAUAGUCAGUGCAAUAAAGGAGUGUUAGUUAUUAUUUACAGCCGACUAAGUUAUAAAAUUUUUGCUAUCUGUGAAAAUUCGGUAGUCAUCGAAUUUGUAGAAUCUCUUACACUCAUGAAUUUCACUAUUUUGGCUAGUGCUGAUGCAUUCUUGCACUGUUCGCUCUUAUAAUAUGUCAGUAAAUUUAGUUCGGUAGGAGUAUAUAUUUAAUAUGAAGCUUUUUGCUUGUAUUUCCUUGAAUAAUUAUUUAUUUCAAGUCACAGAACCUCAGCUGAAGAAGAAUUAUUGAAAUCAGUAAAUUUAAAGUCCCUAUCAUUUUCCCUGCUUAAGCUAUGAUUUUUUUUUAAAGGCACCCCUCAACGUCUACAGUAUAGGAAAAAUUGCAUUUAUAAUGAUUAGAAACAAUAUAAGUACUGAGAAUCCUAAUUUACAAGUCCAGCCUUUAAUCAGAAGAUUUAAAUUUUCAUGGAUAUUUUUGGAGAUGUUUUGAAAAAUUAUUGUAAGCUUCAUUAUUUUUUAGUGCAAGCUAUUAAAUAUUUCUUGUAUCAAUUAUUGAUAAAAGAAUAAAAUAUUUUCCAAUGAUAAUGAGUUUUUUUCCAGCUUCAACUUAGUAAUAAGCAACUAUUAUCUUUUAUAGCCAAAAUUUUUAAGAUAACAAACUAAUGUAUAUUUUGAGAACACCAAUUUUUAUUAGGGACUCCCUGGUAUUGGGAGAGUGAUACUUUCAUGUUUGGCCCUAUUUAACUGGUGUCCUAGAACGAACCCUACUGACUAAUAUUUAUAAGGUACAUUCAGAAGGGCAAAGAAAAUUUGCAGGCUUGAAGAGAGGUGUUUCCAUCUGAAGAUCAUUCUGUUAAGUUCAAAGUUACGCCCCUGUAGAAAAACUUGCAGUUAGUAAUAUGCUGACUAAUUGUGGCUUUUCAACAGAUUUUCGAACGAAUCCUCCAUCGGUUUUUUAUUGUAUUUGUGAAUAUAAAUGUAGAGAGAGUAAAUACAUAGUAAAAAGGGUUUACAGGGCUAAUAAUUGAGGUAUGAUCCCACUACAUCUUGGGCUAGGUACUAGUCCAUUCAUUUCUUAACUGAAAACAAGAGGUAAAAAAAUCCUUUUUUUAACCGAGGAAGGUUACAUAAAUGAGUUCUUCACCUGCCUUUCUGCAUAGUUUCAAGGAAGGAGGAGGCAAAAUUUUUAAGACAACAUUAAAAAUGGUACUUUUAAUUAAAAUAUAUAACAAAAAUCAACUAAGUAUUAGUCAUGAUUGAUACUUUAACAAGGUAUCUAGUGAUAUGUAAUAACAAAUGCUUACUUUAAAAAUAAUGAAUAGCAUAAGAAACAAGGCAAACAGUUUGAGAGAAUUCCUCAGACAGGCAGGCAAGCUGAGUCAUUACACAAUUACUACUCUCAGUACAGGAAUUCUUGAAAAAUGAUAAUCAUUCUAAAACUUUCAACGCUGAAGAAUUUUAAGUUAAAAAAUUGAGACAAGGAAUUAAAAAUUUUUACCUGAAUUGAAUUCAACAAAGAGAAAAUCGACAGUGUAAGUCCGCAAUCACAUAUCUCGUUUGCGGUGUCUGAAAAUCUUCGCCUCUGUUAUUUUUUUAAAGUAGAACAAAUUGGCAUCCCUUGAGGAUUUUGCAGAAUUUUCUUCGCACAGAGAAGAAAAAUCACGACAGUUUUAAAGAAUUGCUGUUGAGUAGUUUUCCGUUUUAAAAUUUAAGUAUGACAGGAAGUCUGAAACGUAGCAAACCAAGUUAUGUGAUUGCAGACUUACAUUGUUGAAAUGUUCCCUGUUUAAAAGAGAAAAAAGAAAAACAAUUGAGUACGUAAUUUUACAAUAAUUACCAUGAGCUGAGGUUGUAAGGGCACAGCAAAGACAGCCUUGUGAUUUUAUUUUGAAGUAUGAGACAAAAGUCACUUAAUAAUUUUCAAAUGAAGGCCUCAUUAUCUAGAAUUAAGUCCUUUCUAAAAUUAUGAUCGAUUUAUCAACACGUAUACAUAUUUCUGGGAAAAAUAUCACCAUGGGCAAUAUUUGGAUUCUUCUUAUUGACGACAAUUACUAAAUGAUGGCAGGAAUAUAUAUACCGCCUUGCCCAAUAUAAAUCUCAUUAUUUCUCUUUGGCCUUGGCUGAGCCACAGAAAAGUGCGAAGGCUGUUAAUGUAAGGGAUCACUAAGUACCAUAUUUUUCUGCACGGUGCCCAUAAUCCCUCUGUGGCGAAAAAAAGCACGAUUCCUUGAUAUUUACUGUAUAGAAAAUUCAACCAUCAUACUUGUAGCCGCACAAAUACGUAAACAGCAGACAUGAAUUACAUGAAUAUGGUAGUUUUCUAUCACUGUCACACAUUAUUAGAGGUAUGUUGGACGAGCCUCAUAAUUCUCAUAUCACUUAGACACCAUUGACAAAACUUAAAGUAAAUUUUAGGAUUUUUGGUCCGCAAAACACCACCACUUCAAUAGGUGACUUAAUAGUAAGUUUCAUCCAGAAUUUUUUUUUUUUUUUUAAAAAAUCGGAUUCGCAGGAGUUGAAACUUAUUUCAAGAGUAUAUUAUCUAAUUUUGAGAUCAAAAUGACCUAAAAUGAGAGUCACAGUAUGGCCGUUAAAGGCUCCACUUAUUGUCUCAUUGACGGUAAAGAUUAGUGAUAUUACAUUGUAAUUCAGCCUUUACUUUUGGGCACUCUGCUUAAAAGUUUGAUCACUUCAUAUUCGAGACCUUCUUCACCUCCUCUGGAUCAGAUUCUUGGGAGGCAGUCAAGGCAAGACUCAAUAAUAGUCAUACAUCUAAGGAGCUAAAUACAUACAG